rnacentral:rRNA from 1 species
UACGGGGGGAGCAAGCGUUGUUCGGAUUUACUGGGCGUAAAGGGCGCGUAGGCGGUCAGCACAAGUCAGUUGUGAAAUCUCCGAGCUUAACUCGGAAAGGUCAACUGAUACUGUGCGACUAGAGUGCGGAAGGGGCAACUGGAAUUCUUGGUGUAGCGGUGAAAUGCGUAGAUAUCAAGAGGAACACCUGCGGCGAAGGCGGGUUGCUGGGCCGACACUGACGCUGAAGCGCGAAAGCGUGGGGAGCAAACAGG